rnacentral:rRNA from 1 species
GGACCAAGGAGUCUAACAUGUGCGCGAGUCAAUGGGUCCCCCAAAACCCAGAGGCGCAAUGAAACGUGAAGGCGCGGCCUCGUGCCGCGCCGAGUUGCGAUCCCGGGCCGCCCAGGGGUCCGAUGAAGGGAGCAGCAACGGCCCGCCCCACACGCUCACGUCGUGGGGGCGGCGCUAGAGCGCACACGUUGGCACCCGAAAGAUGGUGAACUAUGCCCGGGCAGGACGAGGCCAGAGGAAACUCUGGUGGAGGUCCGAAGCGCUUCUGACGUGCAAAUCGAUCGUCCGACCCAGGUAUAGGGGCGAAAGACUAAUCGAACCAUCUAGUAGCUGGUUCCCU